rnacentral:rRNA from 1 species
GACGAACCGUGCGAACGUUGUUCGGAAUCACUGGGCUUAAAGGGCGCGUAGGCGGCAGAUCAAGUCCGGGGUGAAAACCUCCAGCUUAACUGGAGAAGUGCCUUGGAUACUGAUUUGCUCGAGGGAGGUAGGGGUCGAGGGAACUUCUGGUGGAGCGGUGAAAUGCGUUGAUAUCAGAAGGAACGCCGGUGGCGAAAGCGCUCGACUGGAUCUUUUCUGACGCUGAGGCGCGAAAGCUAGGGGAGCAAACAGG